rnacentral:rRNA from 1 species
GGACUACAGGGGUAUCUAAUCCCGUUUGCUCCCCUGGCUUUCGCGCCUCAGCGUCAGAAGAGGUCCAGCACGUCGCUUUCGCCACCGGCGUUCCUUCCGAUAUCUACGCAUUUCACCGCUCCACCGGAAGUUCCACAUGCCCCUACCUCACUCAAGACGACCAGUAUCCAAGGCUAUUCUCCAGUUAAGCUGAAGUAUUUCACCCCGGACUUGGUCACCCGCCUACGCGCCCUUUAAGCCCAGUGAAUCCGAACAACGUUCGCACGGUUCGUCUUACCGCGGCUGCUGGCAC